CCAGUCACGAUAAGGCACAUGGGGGAUGCCUAGGUAGUAAGAGCCGAUGAAGGACGUGUUAAGCUGCGAAAAGCUUCGGGGAGCUGCAAUAGAGCUUAGAUCCGGAGAUAUCCGAAUGGGGCAACCUGUAUAACUGGAGGUUAUACACGAGAGAGGUAAGUGGGUGAACUGAAACAUCUAAGUAACCCGAGGAAGAGAAAGUAAAAACGAUUCCCUGAGUAGCGGCGAGCGAACGGGGAAGAGCCUAAACUGCAUUGGUGUCAAGGGGCAGCCGUUGCCAAUGUGGGGUAGAGGGAUAGAUAAGGAGCGACUGCAAGCAGCUCGAUGAAAUAUACCAUGAAUCUGAACAGUUUGGAAAAGCUGACCGAAGAAGGUGAUAGUCCUGUAAGGGCAAAUGGUAUAGGAAAUUGUUAUCUACACCCGAGUAGUACGGAGCACGAGGAAUUCCGUAUGAAUCAGCGUGGACCAAAUCACGUAAGGCUAAAUACUCUUACUGACCGAUAGAGCAUAGUACCGUGAGGGAAAGGUGAAAAGAACCCCGGGAGGGGAGUGAAAUAGAAACUGAAACCGUGUGCUUACAAGCGGUCGGAGCAUCUUAAUGGUGUGACGGCGUGCCUUUUGGAGAAUGAUCCUGCGAGUUACGAUUAGUUGCGAGGUUAAGGAAACGGAGCCGAAGGGAAACCGAGUCUGAAUAGGGCGCUAGUAGCUAGUCGUAGACGCGAAACCCGGUGAUCUAUUCCUGCCCAGGAUGAAGCUGUGGUAAUACAUAGUGGAGGUCCGAACCGACCAUCGUUGAAAAGCUGGCGGAUGAGGCAGGUAUAGGGGUGAAAAGCCAAUCGAACUGGGAGAUAGCUCGUUCUCUCCGAAAUGCAUUUAGGUGCAGCCUUUGAAGAAAAAUCUAUGGGGGUAGAGCGACUGGAUACCGUAGGGGGCGUAAAGCUUACCGAAAGCAACCAAACUCCGAAUACUGUAGAUGGAAAUCAAGGAGUGAGACUACGGGUGCUAACAUCCGUGGUCAAAAGGGAAACAACCCAGACCACCAGCUAAGGUCCCUAAAUCAUAUCUAAGUGGGAAAGGAAGUGGAGAUUCAUAGACAACCAGGAUGUUGGCUUAGAAGCAGCCAUACAUUUAAAGAGUGCGUAAUAGCUCACUGGUCGAGAGUUUCUGCGCCGACAAUGUAACGGGGCUAAGAUAUGUACCGAAGCUGUGGAAUGUAUACUUGUAUACAUUGGUAGGAGAGCGUUCUGUAGGCCUGAGAAGGAGAAGUGAAAACGACUCUGGAGGUAUCAGAAGUGAGAAUGCAGGAAUAAGUAGCGAGAAAGAGGGUGAGAAUCCCUCUCGCCGAAAAUCUAAGGAUUCCAGGGGAAGGCUCGUCCUCCCUGGGUAAGUCGGGACCUAAGCUGAGGCUAAAGAGCGUAGGCGAAUGGAUAUCAGGUAAAUAUUCCUGAACUAGUUACAAUUGUUUGAGAGAUGGAGUGACGCAGGAAGGUAUGUGCGCAUACUGACGGAAUAGUAUGUAUAAUUACGUAGCAUGGCUAUAUAGGAAAAUCCGUAUAGUUAGAUGUGAGGUUUGACAUGGAGACUAGCAAUAGUUGAAGGUACAAAUCCUACACUGCCGAGAAAAGCUUCUAUUUAGAUUGUAAGUACCCGUACCGAAAACCGACACAGGUGGAUGGAGUGAGAAACUCAAGGCGCGCAAGCUAACUAUCGCUAAGGAACUCUGCAAAAUGGCCCCGUAACUUCGGGAGAAGGGGUGCCCUUUGUUGUAAAUAGUCACGCACUAUGAAGCAAUGGGGGGUCGCAGUGAAAAGGUCCGGGCAACUGUUUAACAAAAACACAGGUCUAUGCUAAGCUGAAAGGCGACGUAUAUGGGCUGACACCUGCCCAGUGCCGGAAGGUUAAGGGGAGGAGUGAGAGCUUCGAACUGAAGCCCCGGUGAACGGCGGCCGUAACUAUAACGGUCCUAAGGUAGCGAAAUUCCUUGUCGGGUAAGUUCCGACCUGCACGAAUGGUGUAAUGAUCUGGACGCUGUCUUGGCGGUAGGCUUGGCGAAAUUGUAGUAUGGGUGAAGAUACCCAUUACCCGCAGGAGGACGGAAAGACCCCAUGGAGCUUUACUGUAGCUUGGUAUUGGGUUUUGAUUAUGUGUGUAUAGGAUAGUUGGGAGACUGUGAGAUAAUGCCGCUAGGUGUUAAGGAGUCGUCGGUGGAAUACCAACCACACAUCGUUGAAAUUCUAAUCUGGGAAGUGAAUUCUUGGAGACAGUGCUAGGUGGGCAGUUUGACUGGGGCGGUCGCCUCCCAAAGAGUAACGGAGGCGCCCAAAGGUUCCCUCAGACUGGAUGGAAAUCAGUCGUAGAGUGCAAAGGCAUAAGGGAGCUUGACUGUGAGACAGACAUGUCGAACAGGGUCGAAAGACGGGCUUAGUGAUCCGGUGGUUCCGCAUGGAAGGGCCAUCGCUCAACGGAUAAAAGCUACCCUGGGGAUAACAGGCUGAUACUACCCGAGAGUCCAUAUCGACGGUAGUGUUUGGCACCUCGAUGUCGGCUCAUCUUAUCCUGGGGCUGGAGAAGGUCCCAAGGGUUGGGCUGUUCGCCCAUUAAAAAGGUACGUGAGCUGGGUUCAGAACGUCGUGAGACAGUUCGGUCCCUAUC
rnacentral:rRNA from 1 species